ensembl:antisense_RNA anr-43 ncRNA
CGAUAACGUCUUGUGUAAACAAUGCGAUGUACUACUUCACACGUGCCUGACUCAAGUUCAGAGGCAUGUACUAAUCGAAUUGUUUGGGAAGAGCAAGAAGAAUUGAUUUUCGUUUUUUUUAGUGUUUGAGAUCACAUAGAAUGUUAUGCAAAGUUAAGAAUUUUGAAAAAUAAUGUAUGCUAAUGACUCGAACAUUCAAGUUUUUUUAAAAUGUCAAUAUUAGUUCUGUAUCUGACAUAAUACAGUUUCAAUUGAAAUUCCAUAAAAAAUUUUUGGAAAUC